UACGUAGGGUGCAAGCGUUAAUCGGAAUUACUGGGCGUAAAGCGUGCGCAGGCGGUUUUGUAAGUCUGACGUGAAAUCCCCGGGCUCAACCUGGGAAUUGCGAUGAAGACUGCAAGGCUAGAAUCUGGCAGAGGGGGGUAGAAUUCCACGUGUAGCAGUGAAAUGCGUAGAGAUGUGGAGGAACACCGAUGGCGAAGGCAGCCCCCUGGGUCAAGAUUGACGCUCAUGCACGAAAGCGUGGGGAGCAAACAGG
rnacentral:rRNA from 1 species